rnacentral:rRNA from 1 species
GAUGAACGCUGGCGGCGUGCUUAACACAUGCAAGUCGAACGAGAAAUGGAGACGGAAACCUUCGGGCGGAAGGCUUCAUUUCGAGUGGCGGACGGGUGAGUAACGCGUGGGUAACCUGCCUCAUACAGGGGGAUACCGGUUGGAAAGAACUGUAAAUACGGAAUAGGACAAAGGCACCGAUUGUUCCGGGGGUAAAAACUCCGGUGGUAUGAGAUGGACCCGGGUUCGAUUGGCCAGUUGGCGGGGUAACGGCCCACCAAAGCGACGAUCGAUAGCCGAUCUGAGAGGAUGACCGGCCACAUUGGGACUGAGACACGGCCCAAACUCCUACGGGAGGCAGCAGUGGGGAAUAUUGCACAAUGGGGGAAACCCUGAUGCAGCGACGCCGCGUGAGUGAAGAAGUACUUCGGUAUGUAAAGCUCUAUCAGCAGGGAAGAAAAUGACGGUACCUGAGUAAGAAGCCCCGGCUAACUACGUG